ACUGAAGAGACAGCAUGUAACCUGCCCAGCUGAAAAAGCAGCACAUCAAGGAGACGGUCUCACUCAUCACAGCCAGUCCAUCAUCCAGAGAAACAGCACACUCCCGUCCCUCCAGAGGCUUGUGGCAUGCUGCAUACAUGUUAGACACAAAAUGGACUCCAAUUGAUCUAUUGGCCCACAUGUAAUGGAGGAAAAGAUGUGACAUAAGCCGGAAGGGCUUUACAGGACCCGGCAUUCAUCUGUGUUGUAACUCGCCAAGGCACCUGGAGAUCAGCGUCCCUUCCCCAUAAGCCAUGUCUGCUCUCAGUCACCUGCACCCACUGACAUCUAGCAGGCCCUUAAUAAAUUUCCAGAGGAGAAGGCUGGAAAACCCAGCUAUUGCUGAUGUAUCCCAAACAAUCUGGAGAUCCUAAUGAGGACCAGGACUGGACUGGAGGGUGAGGGGGCACACCUGGGCAUACCACUUAAGGAGAUACCAAUCACAGAUGCUGGCUUUGCACAUCUGCAUCCUUAUGAUCCAGGACCCCCUUAAACAGCAUGUUCUGAACACCUGGCUUAUCUCAUCCUUGACUAGGGUCUAUCCUGGACUUUGUUUUUCUGGGAAUUGAACCUAGCGUGCCGUGCUCAGAAGGAAGAAAUGAUGUCUUUCACUUCAAAUAUGGGGAAAGUAAAAUUCUUAAGAUUCCAACUAUUAGAAGACAAACUAUCAGAAGCCAGAUUGAGCUGCAAGCCCAUACUCGUAACAUUUAGGAGAUGAAUAAAUAAGCAGGUUAAGUCGCUGUGAGACUCUGUGCAUGUCCACAAAGAAAGCUACUGAACCAUUCCAGGUGGUGUGAAAACAGCAAGAUGAAUUUCUAAACCAUCAAGAAGAAAAAGCCAAGUGGCAGGCGUCAGCGGAACCUUCUCUCUCUAUUACACUCUUACGGGAACUUGAGCUAUAAAAGACAAAAAUUACCUUGCCCAGAGAGCCCCCACAUAUAUAUCUGUGACUUUCACUGUAUUUUAUUUAAUUCAGUAUUAAGUGAGUUAAAAUAUGAAGACUUUGGCCUAUUCGAGCACGGACCCCUUACGGCAGAUCUUGUGGGUCGUUCAAAACGGACUUUCCUCCAAAAGCACCCACACCAGUGCUGCACACGGCUGUCACGCGGACGCUCCGAGCACAGACUAAAUUCGUCUCCCUUACGUAUCACCGGUGACCGACACACACUCUCUCUGAAGCAAAACCCUCCACUUGAGUCUGAGAUGACACUUCUGGCUUUGAGGUAAACAGCUCAAUACUGCAGCUGGAUUGCUCUGUGAUGGCUUUACCUCUGUCCCUGUCAAUCCCACCGCGCCUCCUCUCUCUAGCUCACCCUGCUCGGUAGCUCAGGGGAAACAGAGCUGCUUUCCCUGACACACAGUGGUGAGACCGCCUAGCCCAGUCUCUCAAGAAGGAAGCCGAAGCAGUGGCAUCUGGGUCUCCUACCCGAGGCAGGCUGAGGCGCCGGCGUGCAGCGUGUGCAGGAGUGCCUGAAGAGCUGCCAUGUUGAUUGCGCGAUACAAUUGUGGGUUUUAUUACCUUCCGGGGGGUGGGGGGAGAAUGGGAGACAUAAAAGCAGGAGUUUUGUGCCAGAUGCUAGGACUAAACGCUCUGUUUCUCUGAUUAGCGUCAGUGACACGGGCUUUGAAUGUGAACCACUUGUAAGUCUCUCCAGGUGAGCUCUCAGUCUUGCCCGUGCCGUUUAUGCCAGACGUUUAUAUGCUUGCUCUUCUCAGGUGGAAUCCAGAUGAAGUUCAGUCUUGCUUAGAAGAGACUGAAGAGGUUUUUUCUUUUUUUAAAAAAGAUUUACAAGUCAGGGUGAUUUUCUUUUUCUAGAAGAAAGGCAAAACUCUUGCUCGGACCCUGAGGGGACAGCUUGGGCUAGGGUAUUAAGUGUGGGGUGGCCCCAAGAGGACCAAAGGAGGUGGCCACAGCACUUCCUUUGCUGUUCUACCAACGACUGCUCCCCCAUCUUCCCCACUGCCCAAGUGAGCUCUUCUUUGAAAUGUCAGCUGGACGGUAGCAGUUUUCUCUUGAUUCUAUACUCUGAGCUGAACCCCGAUCUCCCAGCUCCCGUCUCGGCCCUCACUCAGACUUUAAGUGCAUUCCCCCUAAUGUGGUUGGGCUCUGUAGCUUCCAUCUGAAUCUCUGUUGGGUGCUCUCUACCAUCUCUGCAUCUUCCAUAUCUGUAGGGAUGUGAUUUGGUGUGGUCAGCCUGCAACCACAGGUAAGGCACUGUGGCAAGCUGGCAGGGAAGAUGAGGUCUGCCCUGAGAGGGAGGGAUCAGACACCACGCCUCCUGCUAGGGGUCCCAGGCCCUUGUCAGCUUCUCUUCUCAGGCUCCAGUGACCUGCUCUGGCAAGUGUCCAAAUUCUGGGAUUUUUAAAUUUCUCAUCACCUUCCUCUCUAUACAUAAAGACAAGAGGAUCAUUUAUCCCCGCCUCCUGUUGAACAAAACAUCCCUUCCCUCAGAGCUAUCUCCUCUGUUUUCCCAGGUCUUCAGGGCCGCGCUACCUCAGGAGUACGACUAUCAACACUCACCCAACUCCUCUUCCCCCUACUCCGUGCCCUUGUGAACCCAUUACUCCCCGUGUGACGUGAGCACCUCAUUGGUGUUCCCAAAUAUGGCAGGGGAGGGAGCGCCUGUCUCCACCAUUUGGUAGCAGGAGAGAGAGAGAGGAAUCCUGUUCCUGUCGCCACCUUGGCAGGUGUCAACUCCUCACAGCUGACUGUAAGGCAUCUUUGUGUACAGCCCUGGCAGUACAACCCUGUACCAUGUACCGCAAUGGGAAUCCUUCGCAGAUCCGGUCGGGUUCCCUUUGGUAGCACGUGUCUCCAAGGAGCAUAAACGUCACCAGAGAGACAUGAUGCCAACCUCAGCUUUUCACUCAACAGCAUCCUGCUUUCAGCUCACCCUGCAACUGAAACUAUGCUACUAAACUGUACCUGUUGGCUACAUCAGUGUCUCAGGCAGGUAUCUCUGUACGUCUUUGUCCUGACCACUGUCUCCCACAGGAAACUCACGGGCUUUGACUGACAGACUCGGAUCUGCUCUAUCUCCCACUUUUUCCCUUAGCUGUGGGGUGCAGGGUUAAGUCAUUAACACUCUCUGGUCUUCACCUAUAAAAUGACAAUAAUGUCUGCUUGCAAUGCCUUCAGAAGCAGGAGACACCUGAGGUAGAAUCUGUAGGUAGGGCUUUGCUUUCCUAAUCAAGAGCCUUUUCUCAGAAAUCCAGAGCACCGCUCUCCCCCACGACCAAGCGUGGCCAACCUUGAAGCACGACUACAAAUAGUCAUCCAGAUGCAGAAACCCUCCCGGCUUGGCUUGCCCAGCGGAGAGGAACAAAGUGACGGGACCGGGGGAGUAGCUGGGGUCUGGGGGUCGGGGUUGACCUUACCCCCUGGGCCUGUCCACACCUCCCCCUUUAAACAGGCCCGCUGGAGACUAUGUUAAAUGAACCACAGCUGGAAUGAAGGCCCACCUGUCCACUGUGGGGUGUGCUGGACGAACUGGACAGAGGGUUUCGGAGUCUCACUUUCUCCUCAGCUGAUGCACUGCACCUCAGGCUUCCUUCUUCUUUCCAGUGAGGAGCCUGGACGGCAGGGGCGUUAGCAGGCUCCUGUGGCACCUGCCAGCGGCUACCAGGACUGAUUCUCCACAGCCCCAGAUGGAAGGGAUGACUGGGGCUUACUCAUUCAGGGUUAGUGUGAGAACACAAGGGCCCAGCCUCUCACAUGCCGCUGCAAAGAGGGUCACAGAGAGAUCAACAAAACCCAUGCUCCUGAGGCGGGUUCCCGACCGGGCUGGGGCUGAUGGCUUGCAAAAACGAAGGCGACUCCCUGGACCUGCUGUGGCCCUUGCAGUAUCCACAAACCCAUUCUCUUUCCCUGUAGUAGCUCAGGCUUCUUCUGAGGAGAGAGUAUGCUUAGCUCAGGGUUCCUUUAUUUAUUUUUUA